UACGUAGGGUGCAAGCGUUAAUCGGAAUUACUGGGCGUAAAGCGUGCGCAGGCGGUGAUGUAAGACAGAUGUGAAAUCCCCGGGUUCAACCUGGGAGCUGCAUUUGUGACUGCAUCGCUGGAGUACGGCAGAGGGGAUGGAAUUCCGCGUGUAGCAGUGAAAUGCGUAGAUAUGCGGAGGAACACCGAUGGCGAAGGCAAUCCCCUGGGCCUGUACUGACGCUCAUGCACGAAAGCGUGGGGAGCAAACAGG
rnacentral:rRNA from 1 species